UACGUAGGGUGCAAGCGUUAAUCGGAAUUACUGGGCGUAAAGCGUGCGCAGGCGGUUGUGCAAGACCGAUGUGAAAUCCCCGGGCUUAACCUGGGAAUGGCGUUGGUGACUGCACGGCUAGAGUGUGUCAGAGGGGGGUAGAAUUCCACGUGUAGCAGUGAAAUGCGUAGAGAUGUGGAGGAAUACCGAUGGCGAAGGCAGCCCCCUGGGAUAACACUGACGCUCAUGCACGAAAGCGUGGGGAGCAAACAGG
rnacentral:rRNA from 1 species